UUAAGCGACUAAGCGUACACGGUGGAUGCCCUGGCAGUCAGAGGCGAUGAAGGACGUGCUAAUCUGCGAUAAGCGUCGGUAAGGUGAUAUGAACCGUUAUAACCGGCGAUUUCCGAAUGGGGAAACCCAGUGUGUUUCGACACACUAUCAUUAACUGAAUCCAUAGGUUAAUGAGGCGAACCGGGGGAACUGAAACAUCUAAGUACCCCGAGGAAAAGAAAUCAACCGAGAUUCCCCCAGUAGCGGCGAGCGAACGGGGAGCAGCCCAGAGCCUGAAUCAGUGUGUGUGUUAGUGGAAGCGUCUGGAAAGGCGCGCGAUACAGGGUGACAGCCCGUACACAAAAAUGCACAUGCUGUGAGCUCGAUGAGUAGGGCGGGACACGUGGUAUCCUGUCUGAAUAUGGGGGACCAUCCUCCAAGGCUAAAUACUCCUGACUGACCGAUAGUGAACCAGUACCGUGAGGGAAAGGCGAAAAGAACCCCGGCGAGGGGAGUGAAAAAGAACCUGAAACCGUGUACGUACAAGCAGUGGGAGCACGCUUAGGCGUGUGACUGCGUACCUUUUGUAUAAUGGGUCAGCGACUUAUAUUCUGUAGCAAGGUUAACCGAAUAGGGGAGCCGAAGGGAAACCGAGUCUUAACUGGGCGUUAAGUUGCAGGGUAUAGACCCGAAACCCGGUGAUCUAGCCAUGGGCAGGUUGAAGGUUGGGUAACACUAACUGGAGGACCGAACCGACUAAUGUUGAAAAAUUAGCGGAUGACUUGUGGCUGGGGGUGAAAGGCCAAUCAAACCGGGAGAUAGCUGGUUCUCCCCGAAAGCUAUUUAGGUAGCGCCUCGUGAAUUCAUCUCCGGGGGUAGAGCACUGUUUCGGCAAGGGGGUCAUCCCGACUUACCAACCCGAUGCAAACUGCGAAUACCGGAGAAUGUUAUCACGGGAGACACACGGCGGGUGCUAACGUCCGUCGUGAAGAGGGAAACAACCCAGACCGCCAGCUAAGGUCCCAAAGUCAUGGUUAAGUGGGAAACGAUGUGGGAAGGCCCAGACAGCCAGGAUGUUGGCUUAGAAGCAGCCAUCAUUUAAAGAAAGCGUAAUAGCUCACUGGUCGAGUCGGCCUGCGCGGAAGAUGUAACGGGGCUAAACCAUGCACCGAAGCUGCGGCAGCGACACUAUGUGUUGUUGGGUAGGGGAGCGUUCUGUAAGCCUGUGAAGGUGUGCUGUGAGGCAUGCUGGAGGUAUCAGAAGUGCGAAUGCUGACAUAAGUAACGAUAAAGCGGGUGAAAAGCCCGCUCGCCGGAAGACCAAGGGUUCCUGUCCAACGUUAAUCGGGGCAGGGUGAGUCGACCCCUAAGGCGAGGCCGAAAGGCGUAGUCGAUGGGAAACAGGUUAAUAUUCCUGUACUUGGUGUUACUGCGAAGGGGGGACGGAGAAGGCUAUGUUGGCCGGGCGACGGUUGUCCCGGUUUAAGCGUGUAGGCUGGUUUUCCAGGCAAAUCCGGAAAAUCAAGGCUGAGGCGUGAUGACGAGGCACUACGGUGCUGAAGCAACAAAUGCCCUGCUUCCAGGAAAAGCCUCUAAGCAUCAGGUAACAUCAAAUCGUACCCCAAACCGACACAGGUGGUCAGGUAGAGAAUACCAAGGCGCUUGAGAGAACUCGGGUGAAGGAACUAGGCAAAAUGGUGCCGUAACUUCGGGAGAAGGCACGCUGAUAUGUAGGUGAAGCGACUUGCUCGUGGAGCUGAAAUCAGUCGAAGAUACCAGCUGGCUGCAACUGUUUAUUAAAAACACAGCACUGUGCAAACACGAAAGUGGACGUAUACGGUGUGACGCCUGCCCGGUGCCGGAAGGUUAAUUGAUGGGGUUAGCGCAAGCGAAGCUCUUGAUCGAAGCCCCGGUAAACGGCGGCCGUAACUAUAACGGUCCUAAGGUAGCGAAAUUCCUUGUCGGGUAAGUUCCGACCUGCACGAAUGGCGUAAUGAUGGCCAGGCUGUCUCCACCCGAGACUCAGUGAAAUUGAACUCGCUGUGAAGAUGCAGUGUACCCGCGGCAAGACGGAAAGACCCCGUGAACCUUUACUAUAGCUUGACACUGAACAUUGAGCCUUGAUGUGUAGGAUAGGUGGGAGGCUUUGAAGUGUGGACGCCAGUCUGCAUGGAGCCGACCUUGAAAUACCACCCUUUAAUGUUUGAUGUUCUAACGUGGACCCGUAAUCCGGGUUGCGGACAGUGUCUGGUGGGUAGUUUGACUGGGGCGGUCUCCUCCUAAAGAGUAACGGAGGAGCACGAAGGUUGGCUAAUCCUGGUCGGACAUCAGGAGGUUAGUGCAAUGGCAUAAGCCAGCUUGACUGCGAGCGUGACGGCGCGAGCAGGUGCGAAAGCAGGUCAUAGUGAUCCGGUGGUUCUGAAUGGAAGGGCCAUCGCUCAACGGAUAAAAGGUACUCCGGGGAUAACAGGCUGAUACCGCCCAAGAGUUCAUAUCGACGGCGGUGUUUGGCACUCGAUGUCGGCUCAUCACAUCCUGGGGCUGAAGUAGGUCCCAAGGGUAUGGCUGUUCGCCAUUUAAAGUGGUACGCGAGCUGGGUUUAGAACGUCGUGAGACAGUUCGGUCCCUAUCUGCCGUGGGCGCUGGAGAACUGAGGGGGGCUGCUCCUAGUACGAGAGGACCGGAGUGGACGCAUCACUGGUGUUCGGGUUGUCAUGCCAAUGGCACUGCCCGGUAGCUAAAUGCGGAAGAGAUAAGUGCUGAAAGCAUCUAAGCACGAAACUUGCCCCGAGAUGAGUUCUCCCUGACUCCUUGAGAGUCCUGAAGGAACGUUGAAGACGACGACGUUGAUAGGCCGGGUGUGUAAGCGCAGCGAUGCGUUGAGCUAACCGGUACUAAUGAACCGUGAGGCUUAACCUU
rnacentral:rRNA from 1 species